AAAACUUUCAACAACGGAUCUCUUGGUUCUGGCAUCGAUGAAGAACGCAGCGAAAUGCGAUAAGUAAUGUGAAUUGCAGAAUUCAGUGAAUCAUCGAAUCUUUGAACGCACAUUGCGCCCGGCAGCAUUCUGCCGGGCAUGCCUGUUCGAGCGUCAUUUCAACCCUCGAGCUCCCUUUGGGGAGCACGGUGUUGGGG
rnacentral:rRNA from 1 species